GGUGAGCGGCUGUAUCCACUUAUCCAGGCCUUGCAUCCGACUCUUGCUGGAAAGAUCACAGGCAUGCUGCUGGAGAUCGACAACUCUGAACUACUGCACAUGCUCGAGUCUCCAGAAUCCCUGCACUCCAAGGUUGAAGAGGCUGUAGCUGUUCUUCAGGCUCAUCAAGCCAAGGGCCUGUCUGCAAAGUAAAGGGGCUCUGUAAGACUGAAAUGCAUGCACACUGAAUGUCUAUAUAUUGUUCUUGAGAAUGGGGGAAAAGAAAACGGCACUACAGAGUCAUAUUAUUAAUGCAUGAUUUGCACACUACAAAUGUCCUCUUGCUGUCCACAGGGUUUUUGAUUUUGUUUAUUAAAAGUAAA